rnacentral:lncRNA from 1 species
ACACAGGAGUGCAUCCAUUCCAGAACAUUUUCCCGCAUCAUAUUCUGUGACAUAUUCUUCAUGGAAGUUGAAUAAAACAGGAAUCUUGCCCUGAGGGAUCUUAUAAUCAAGCAAUGGGCUCUGUACAGGUACCAAGCUAGGGGAUGAAGAUAUAGAAGAAAGAAGUACAUACAGUUUCUGCUCUCAGGAAGCUUUUAAUCUAAGAGGGGAUCAAUCAUAAUAUAGUCUAAUUGCUGUGAUAGGGAAGGAAAAAUACCACAGGAGAGCAAGAUAUGGAGAAAGGAGGAUGGUGUUUAGGUGGAAAUGGAAAAAAAAAGCCCAAGUGGGAAUCAGCCAGGUGAAGAAACAGGGAGAUUACUGGGAACAGCAUAGACAAAGGCCCAGCCACAAGCUAAGGCUCAGCAGACCUCCUUGAAGAAAGUGGUAAGAAUUGAGUGUGUCUGGAAUGGACAGCACAGGAGGGAGUGGAAAGGAAAUCAGCUGACAGAAACUCUUCAGCCCCUCGAAAUUUAGAUUUUAUCCUGGGGGCAAUGAGAAGAUACCAAUGGGUUAAGCAAUGGAAUGAGGUAAUCAGGUAUAUUGAUAUUACAGAAAAAUUACUCAGGCUGCAGAAUAAGGAAUCAAUAGACAAGAAGAGGCAGCCAGACUUGAGUCAGGAUAAAAAAAAUUAGAUUGUUGUGAUGGCAAAGGCAGAACUUGGAGGCAGCCUGGAUUCAGGGAGGGCAGUGGAAAUAUAAAGAGUAAUUUUGAAAGAUAUUAAAGAUAUUAAGUCAGGUGCAGUGGUGUACGCCUGUAAUCCUA